CCUACGUGUGGCAGCAGUGAGGAAUAUUGGUCAAUGGGCGAGAGCCUGAACCAGCCAAGUCGCGUGAGGGAGUACUGCCCUAUAGGUUGUAAACCUCUUUUGUUGGGGAGCAAAAGCCGGACGUGUCCGGCUGUGAGAGUACCCGAAGAAAAAGCAUCGGCUAACUCCGUGCCAGCAGCCGCGGUAAUACGUAGGGGGCAAGCGUUAUCCGGAUUUACUGGGUGUAAAGGGAGCGUAGAAGGCAGCGCACGUCUGGAGUGAAAUCCCAUGGAUUAACCAUGGAACUGCUUUGGAAACUGUGCAGCUGGAGUGCAGGAGAGGUAAGCGGAAUUCCUAGUGUAGCGGUGAAAUGCGUAGAUAUUAGGAGGAACACCAGUGGCGAAGGCGGCUUACUGGACUGUAACUGACGUUGAGGCUCGAAAGCGUGGGGAGCAAACAGGAUUAGAUACCCCAGUAGUC
rnacentral:rRNA from 1 species